GUGCACGUGAAGAGCAGUUUUCGAUUAUGGCCGGGACAGAAUCGUAUUUCUCGCGACGAUCCUGGACCAUUUAGAUAACGUAGAUAUCCCGUAUCUGCUGCGGCGCGACGCGAUAAGGCCCGAGUGCUUAUUUUCGACAAGGAAAGUCAAGGAGAGACCGGUGAUCGAAUUCCUGAAGGAGAUCUUGAAACGCGACACUCGCGACGUGCAGGUUAUCUGGGGCUACCGAAAAAUUACGACCGGCUGUUUGUACAGGAGGCGCUCCGGUCGCCCCGUUUUGAUACGUUAAAAGUCUUCCUGUCGGAGAAUAAUGGCCGCCGGUAAAGAGAGAAGCUGUCGGAACGGGACCAUUAAAUUUACGACAUCCGCGCGAUAUUAGUGGACCGCUGUUGCUCGUUAAGGGGUGAAAAAUGAAGCGUAAGUGCACUUUCGUGCGGUCCGAGUCGACGCGUCCGCGAACGAGUCGUUCGAACCUCUCACACGGAAUCGACGUUACGUCGACGCUGGCCGAGUCUCUUUGUCGCGCAACGCGUCGUUAAGGCGGCGCUGGAACGACAUUGCCGGACUAUUUCGCCGGCGGAACGAGAUAGACUUACAUAGAAAUGCUAUUCGAUCCGAGCGUGUCGCGAAUCCUCUUUGCCGCGCCAAUGGAAAAAUAAAUCAACGGAAACAACCGAAGACGUUAAAGCUUCUUUCAUCGAUACUUUUGACGUUGAAUGACAUAACCUUGACGGUCGAAUCAACCGGAUGAAUGCCACAAUUUUCCGAGCUUUCGUACGAAGCCACCCGAAAGUGAAAACAGCGGCUAAAAUUGAUCGGUCGCGAUCUCGAAGGCCACCGAGGUGGGGAUGGCCACCAUGUUUGCCGAUGCGAUUUCGGUUGUUAUCGCCGAAACGCCAACGCGAUUAUCCGUGUCACCGCAAGUUUCGAAAUCGUUGGACAAAUAAGGGAAAGCGAAGAAAUCUCUCUUUUUACCGUAAAUACCACAGAUGGUCGCUCUGUUGGUACGUGUUGCCGAUCAUCGUCGUCGAGCUCGUACUUACCUGAAAUAAGACAAAAAAUUCAAAGUACGCAAACAAGACAACUGACUGCAACAAGACAAAAAAUUCAAAGGCCUGUAAAAUUAACAACUCCGAAAAAUCCUUCGAAAUCUGUCACUGAAGAAUGAAAUCUGUCACCACGAACGUGGCCCACGUUCGACUCUAAUCCUCGAGCGAGGACCACGGGGAGGGGGGAUUUUCCGACUCGCAGCCGGCGAGCGAGGAUCGGCGCGACUCGGCGAGACUCGGCGCGACUCGGCGCGGCUCGGCGAUUGUUUACGGGAACACGGAAUAGGUGUCGGACAGUGGCAGCCAGCGGUGAUCGCAGGCAGGCGCAUUAUAUUCGGUUCGCAUGCACCGGCUCAUGGAUAACCACGGUGGCGAGGCUAGGGACUCUCUGCCGAAGGGACGCAACACAACCAUCACGGUCCAGUAGCAUUCGCUUGAAACAAGGGGUCCGAUUUCGUUGAUCCGGAGCGGCAGUGCCCGCGUCGAAUCCCUCCUGGAAUACCGUUAUCGUAUAAAUUCGUGAGCGAAGUUCGGAACUCGCAUCCGCGGGGCAAACGCGAUCCGCUACCCUAUCCCCACUCUCCGUCUCUCGCUCCCUCCUUCCCUCUCUCUUUUACCCGACGCCGUUCCCGAUACAGAUAAAUAGUUGUACACGCGCGAAUGGCUACGAAACGGUUAAGAGAUUUACGCCGGUGGGGAGAAACGAGUCGAACGCGCGCGUCGUUUCAUCCGAGCGAUCGACGACACGUUGAACGAUGCCGUUCGACGAAGCGCGACGGCGUAUCUUCUCCCCAAAAAAUUCACUUAAUAAAAAUAUUAUGUAUAAUAUAAUAUAUAAAAUAUUAAAUA